rnacentral:rRNA from 1 species
AACUUGGUGCCAGCAGAAGGGGUAAUGCAUAGAGCUCAAGCGUUAGCCGGAAUCAGUGGGUGUAAAGCGUACCGAUAGGUGGUUUACUAAGUUUUGGGUAAAAGCCAGAAGCUCAACUUCUGCGUUUGCUCAAGAUACUGGUAGACUAGAGGAGUAAAGAGGUGGCUGGAACCAACGGUGUAGUAGUGAAAUGCGUUGAUAUCGUUGGGAACACCGAAAGCGAAGGCAGGCCACUGGGUACUACCUGACACUGCUAGGACGAAAGCGUGGGGAGCGAAUGGGAUUAGAUACCCUGGUAGUC